GAUGAACGCUGGCGGCGUGCCUAAUACAUGCAAGUCGAGCGAACAGACGAGGAGCUUGCUCCUCUGACGUUAGCGGCGGACGGGUGAGUAACACGUGGAUAACCUACCUAUAAGACUGGGAUAACUUCGGGAAACCGGAGCUCAUACCGGAUAAUAUAUUGAACCGCAUGGUUCAAUAGUGAAAGACGGUUUUGCUGUCACUUAUAGAUGGAUCCGCGCCGCAUUAGCUAGUUGGUAAGGUAACGGCUUACCAAGGCGACGAUGCGUAGCCGACCUGAGAGGGUGAUCGGCCACACUGGAACUGAGACACGGUCCAGACUCCUACGGGAGGCAGCAGUAGGGAAUCUUCCGCAAUGGGCGAAAGCCUGACGGAGCAACGCCGCGUGAGUGAUGAAGGUCUUCGGAUCGUAAAACUCUGUUAUUAGGGAAGAACAAAUGUGUAAGUAACUAUGCACGUCCUGACGGUACCUAAUCAGAAAGCCACGGCUAACUACGUG
rnacentral:rRNA from 1 species